rnacentral:rRNA from 1 species
CACGUAGGGGGCGAGCGUUGUCCGGAUUUAUUGGGCGUAAAGGGCUCGUAGGCGGCUCAGUAAGUCGGGUGUGAAACCUCCAGGCUCAACCUGGAGACGCCACUCGAUACUGCUGUGGCUAGAGUCCGGUAGGGGAGCAUGGAAUUCCUGGUGUAGCGGUGAAAUGCGCAGAUAUCAGGAGGAACACCAGUGGCGAAGGCGGUGCUCUGGGCCGGAACUGACGCUGAGACGCGAAAGCGUGGGGAGCAAACAGG